rnacentral:rRNA from 1 species
UACGAACGCUGGCGGCGUGCCUAAUACAUGCAAGUCGAGCGCAGGAAACCAGAUGACCCCUUCGGGGUGAUUCUGGUGGAAUGAGCGGCGGACGGGUGAGUAACACGUGGGCAACCUGCCUGUAAGACUGGGAUAACUUCGGGAAACCGGAGCUAAUACCGGAUAGUAUUUCCUUUCUCCUGAUUGGAAAUGGAAAGACGGUUUCGGCUGUCACUUACAGAUGGGCCCGCGGUGCAUUAGCUAGUUGGUGGGGUAAUGGCCCACCAAGGCGACGAUGCAUAGCCGACCUGAGAGGGUGAUCGGCCACACUGGGACUGAGACACGGCCCAGACUCCUACGGGAGGCAGCAGUAGGGAAUCUUCCGCAAUGGACGAAAGUCUGACGGAGCAACGCCGCGUGAGCGAUGAAGGCCUUCGGGUCGUAAAGCUCUGUUGUUAGGGAAGAACAAGUACGGGAGUAACUGCUCGUACCUUGACGGUACCUAACCAGAAAGCCCCGGCUAACUACGUGCCAGCCGCCGCAGUAA